GUAGUCUCGCACAGAUGCAUAUCAAUAAGCGGAGGAAAAGAAACUAACAAGGAUUCCCCUAGUAACGGCGAGUGAAGCGGGAAGAGCUCAAAUUUGAAAUCUUAAAGGGUUUCCCUUUACGAAUUGUAGUUUAAAGAAGUGUUUUCUGUUGAGGUUUUGGUAAAAGUUCUUUGGAAUAGGACAUCAUAGAGGGUGAGAAUCCCGUAUUUGACCUUUACUUUCAACUUUGUGAUACACUUUCAAAGAGUCGGAUUGUUUGGGAAUGCAGUCCAAAAUGGGUGGUAAAUUUCAUCUAAGGCUAAAUAUUGGCGAGAGACCGAUAGCGAACAAGUACCGUGAGGGAAAGAUGAAAAGAACUUUGAAAAGAGAGUUAAACAGUACGUGAAAUUGUCAAAAGGGAAGCGUUUGACACCAGUGUUGUUUUUCUGAAAAUCAAUUAAAGAACUGUUUAUGCUAAGCUGUUUAGACUUUAUCAGCUAACUGUUUAGUUUUGAGCUUUUCUUUAAUGCACUUUUCAGUUAACAAGUCAACAUCAAUUUCUUUUGCUGUAAAAAAGCUUGAGGAAGGUGGCUUGAGAUUCGUCUUAAGUGUUUAUAGCCUCUUGCCUAUGCAGUCGGAGAGAUUGAGGUCUGCAGCGUAGAUCCUUCGGGGCUAAAUGCAUUUGUGCUAAGUUAUAGCAUUUUAUAGACAACUUGUUGACUAUGAUUUGUCUUGUAGCUUACUCGCUUAUGUUAUUUUACCUACGCUUAGGAUGUUGAAGACUCUACAGAGAU
rnacentral:rRNA from 1 species